CUCGUAGGCGGUUCGUCGCGUCCGGUGUGAAAGUCCAUCGCCUAACGGUGGAUCUGCGCCGGGUACGGGCGGGCUUGAGUGCGGUAGGGGAGACUGGAAUUCCCGGUGUAACGGUGGAAUGUGUAGAUAUCGGGAAGAACACCAAUGGCGAAGGCAGGUCUCUGGGCCGUUACUGACGCUGAGGAGCGAAAGCGUGGGGAGCAAACA
rnacentral:rRNA from 1 species